GAUGAACGCUGGCGGCGUGCCUAAUACAUGCAAGUCGAGCGAACAGACGAGGAGUUUGCUCCUUUGACGUUAGCGGCGGACGGGUGAGUAACAUGUGUAUAAUCUACCUAUAAGACUGGGAUAACUUCGGGAAACCGGCGCUAAUACCGGAUAAUAUAUUGAACCGCAUGGUUCAAUAGUGAAAGACGGUUUUGCUGUCACUUAUAGAUGGAUCUGCGCCGCAUUAGCUAGUUGGUAAGGUAACGGCUUACCAAGGCAACGAUGCGUAGGCGAACUGAUAGAGUGGUCGGCCGCAUGAGAAGUGGACCGGGGUCCUUGGGCCUGAGGGAGGCAGCAGUCGGGAAUGGGCGGCAGUGGGCGAGAGUAUGACAGAACAACGCGACGUGAGAGGUGAAGGUGUUGCGUUCGUGAUACUCUGUUAUUGGGUGAAAACAAAUGUGUAAGGAACUGAACACGUCUUGACGGUACCGGGUCAGAAAGCCACGGCUAACUACGUG
rnacentral:rRNA from 1 species